rnacentral:rRNA from 1 species
CUACGGGCCGCUGCAGUGAGGAAUAUUGCACAAUGGGGGGAACCCUGAUGCAGCAACGCCGCGUGGAGGAUGACGCAUUUCGGUGUGUAAACUCCUUUUAUAUGUCAAGAAAAUGACGGUAGCAUAUGAAUGAGCACCGGCUAACUCCGUGCCAGCAGCCGCGGUAAUACGGAGGGUGCAAGCGUUACUCGGAAUCACUGGGCGUAAAGGACGCGUAGGCGGGUUGGAAAGUCAGGUGUGAAAUCCUACAGCCUAACUGUAGAACUGCACUUGAAACUUCUAAUCUAGAGUAUGGGAGGGGGAGAUGGAAUUAGUGGUGUAGGGGUAAAAUCCGUAGAUAUCACUAGGAAUACCUAAAGCGAAGGCGAUCUCCUGGAACAUUACUGACGCUAAGGCGUGAAAGCGUGGGGAGCAAACAGGAUUAGAUACCCCAGUAGUC